rnacentral:rRNA from 1 species
CUCAGUUCGGAUUGAAGGCUGAAAUUCGCCUUCAUGAAGCCGGAAUUGCUAGUAAUGGCAGGUCAGCAUACUGCCGUGAAUACGUUCCCGGGCCUUGUACACACCGCCCGUCACACCAUGAGAGUUGGGAAUACCCGAAGCCUGUGAGCUAACGUUAAGAGGCAGCAGUCGAAGGUAGAAUCAAUGAUUGGGGUGAAGUCGUAACAAGGUAUC